AUAAAAGGGCGCGUCCGCCGCCAUUCGCCCUCAGUUGGUGUAGCGGCCGGUGGAAGGUGUAUCUUGUUCAAUAAAUCAAAGUAGAAUUGUUGGAUUGGAAUGCUGGAAUCAAGAUCAAUUGUAGAAGUUUCAGAAUGUGUAAUAUACAGAUGGACAAUGGUUGCCUUGUACAAAAGAGAAGACCCUGCAGAACAGUGGUGUGGCUACAUGAUGGGAUCACACCACCUGGAAUGGAUUCUGAGGUCACCCUAACUACUGAGAUCUGCAAUUAAUCCAAACAGAAAUGGCCUGAAUUCAUGUCAGUUCAAGCCUCUGGCGUAAGAAUACACUUCUGAACAUGUCGCAUUCAGGUUGGGAUCACUUCCUGUUUAAGGUAUUUGAAUAUUGUGCAUCAACAGAAAUGAUCACUGCAUUCUCCUUUUAAGUUUGAAGUUGGGACCUGAGUGGAAGAUUUCAUGAUGAUGAAUAAUGCUUGAGAUAUUCCCUCUUUUAAAGAAAAGGGUUACAUACUGUACAAAGCCAGAAGAUUGGUACAAUGAACUUUGGACUCAUCAUUUCACCGAGGUUAAUCACUGCAUCUGAAAAUUGAUGUGGUUAAAUUGGUAGAUCGUUCAAGGAAAGCAUUAAAAGUGCACACCAAAAAAGUGAAGUCCUUGUUUACAUAUAGCUCAAUUUUAUGUAAAGGUGUAUAGUUUAUAAUUCUGUAUUUGAUUUAUUGCCAAAUCGAACAAGAAUAAAAUAACUGAAUAAGCCUGAAUUGCUUGUAGCUUUUUGAUUUUGUAAAUGAGACAUAAAAUUAUAAUGUGCAUUUAUAUAAAUGUCACUUGUGUCCAUGGUGUUAAAAUUGUUUAUUGAAUGGCAUUGUUAACCUAAUAACCCACUGUGACUAUCUUUGCAAGCCAACGUGUAGAUGAGAGAUGAACUAUAUAAAAUAGAUUUUUGGAACAUCUGGGGUUGAGGAUGUGUAACAGGAAAAUAUAUACUGGGUUAAACUAGUUUUUUUAAUGUACUGUGGAGAGUAAAUCAGUGUUCACAGUUCCAAAGAACAAAGAAAGAGGGAGCAACAAUGUGAGUUACAUCGUACAAUAAGCCUGAUGAGCCACGUGGCA